rnacentral:misc_RNA from 1 species
GAUGAAGAACAUAGCGAAAUGCGAUACUUGGUGUGAAUUGCAGAAUCCCGUGAACCAUCGAGUCUUUGAACGCAAGUUGCGCCUGAAGCCUCGGCUAAGGGCACGUCUGCCUGGGCGUCACGCAUCGCGUCUCCCCCAAACCGCCAAGGCGGAGGGGAAGGAAGAUGGCUUCCCGUGCCUCACCCGGCGCGGUUGGCCUAAAUUUGGAGCCCGCGGCACUUAGCUCACGCGGCGAUAGGUGGUGAACAAGGCCUUGGCCGUGCAAACAACCCGCUGCGAAGCUCUAUGUCACGUGCGCUCGUCGGACCCUUUGAAGUUGCCUUCGGUGACUUAAAACCUUUGCGACCCCAGGUCAGGCGGGGCUACCCGCUGAAUUUAAGCAUAUCAAUAAGCGGAGGA